rnacentral:rRNA from 1 species
GACGAACGCUGGCGGCGUGCCUAAUACAUGCGAGUCGAACGCUGAAGAGAGGAGCUUGCUCUUCUUGGAUGAGUUGCGAACGGGUGAGUAACGCGUAGGUAACCUGCCUGGUAGCGGGGGAUAACUAUUGGAAACGAUAGCUAAUACCGCAUAAAAUGGAUUAUCGCAUGAUAAUCCAUUGAAAGGUGCAAAUGCAUCACUACCAGAUGGACCUGCGUUGUAUUAGCUAGUUGGUGGGGUAACGGCUCACCAAGGCGACGAUACAUAGCCGACCUGAGAGGGUGAUCGGCCACACUGGGACUGAGACACGGCCCAGACUCCUACGGGAGGCAGCAGUAGGGAAUCUUCGGCAAGGGACGGAAGUCUGACCGAGCAACGCCGCGUGAGUGAAGAAGGGUUUCGGAUCGUAAAGCUCUGUUGUAAGAGAAGAACGAGUGUGAGAGUGGAAAGUUCACACUGUGACGGUAUCUUACCAGAAAGGGACGGCUAACUACGUG